rnacentral:lncRNA from 1 species
UUUCUUUGAAUCAUUAUUCAUUUUUUAUUAAUUUUAUUUACUUAUUUGUUUUUUUUACAAGUUGGCCUUUGAAUAAGUUCAGCUAUGCAACAAAAAAGACAAGACUCAUUAUCCUUUGAAUUCUGACUUGCUUAUAUCGUGACAAGUGUUUUAUAGAGUGAACCCAGGAUAAAACCUAGCAGUAAAAUAACAACCAAAAGGUAUGUAUACAUAUUUGAAAAGUUUUUAAGGCCUUUGCUGUUUCAAUUUGCCAUUCUAGCUUUGUCUUUGACAACUCCCAUGAUGUAACUAACCAUUUUUCUACAGAGUUCCGCUUCUGUAAAUAUAUCAUGCAGUUUCACAUUUCUGCAACUUUGUACCUGCUCUUCUCUCUGCCGGAAAUGCUCUUGACACACUUCCUGGCACAUGGUACGCUCCAACAAAGUGAGUUACACCUCUUCACUUCCUUUCCUGCCUGAGAGAGAUGACAGGCAGAGAGGCAGGCAGAGAGAGAGGAGGAAGCGACUCCUUGCUGAGCAGAGAAUCCGAUGCGGGGCUCGAUCCCAGGACCCUGAGAUCAUGACCUGAGCCGAAGGCAGCGGCUUAACCCACUAAGCCACCCAGGUGCCCCUGCUCU